rnacentral:SRP_RNA from 1 species
GCUGAGCUAAGUUGCGUGAGCUUGUAACCCGAGUGGGGGCAUUAAGGUUAUGUGGACGAUGUUGUAGUGCUGCGGGCCUGGUUUGGGUGUGCUACUGCUGGCCUGCCCGUUCCAAGUUGCGUAGUGGACCACCUGGGCCUCACGGCUUACUCCAGCGAACUAUCACUUUU